UGCUGUGCCAUUUAUUGAACCCUGUGAUGUGCCGGACGCAGUGUUGUCUUUUUUUCAGCGCGAUAGAUGGAUGACAGUACUAUAUGGUUCCUGGUGUUUAUGUGCCCAGCAUAGCAGCUUCUGGAGAAAGCCACCCCAUGGGAUCGCUGUGCUGCCUGCCCUCAUGUCAACCUCGCCGCCACGCCAUCAGGGAGGCAUGAGGCAGAAGCCAAUGUGACACGAGAAAGACGCAAGCAGCCACUGCUGGCUCUGCGGACGGAAGAAGGGGCCACGAGUCAAGGAAUGUGAGCGGCUGGAAAAGGCAAGGAAACGGAUUCCUCCCGGGGCCUCCAGAAGGAACGCAGCCCUGCUGCUCACCGAUCGAAGCCCUCUGAUGGCC